CCUACGGGUGGCUGCAGUGGGGAAUAUUGCACAAUGGGCGCAAGCCUGAUGCAGCCAUGCCGCGUGUGUGAAGAAGGCCUUCGGGUUGUAAAGCACUUUCAGCGGGGAGGAAGGCGGUGAGGUUAAUAACCUCAUCGAUUGACGUUACCCGCAGAAGAAGCACCGGCUAACUCCGUGCCAGCAGCCGCGGUAAUACGGAGGGUGCAAGCGUUAAUCGGAAUUACUGGGCGUAAAGCGCACGCAGGCGGUCUGUCAAGUCGGACGUGAAAUCCCCGGGCUCAACCUGGGAACUGCAUUCGAAACUGGCAGGCUAGAGUCUUGUAGAGGGGGGUAGAAUUCCAGGUGUAGCGGUGAAAUGCGUAGAGAUCUGGAGGAAUACCGGUGGCGAAGGCGGCCCCCUGGACAAAGACUGACGCUCAGGUGCGAAAGCGUGGGGAGCAAACAGGGUUAGAUACCCUGGUAGUC
rnacentral:rRNA from 1 species